rnacentral:misc_RNA from 1 species
UCGCGGUUUACACCGGCAGUCUCGUUAGAGUGCCCAGCAUGACCUGAUGGCAACUAACGACGUGGGUUGCGCUCGUUAUGGGACUUAACCCGACACCUCACGGCACGAGCUGACGACAACCAUGCAGCACCUUGAAGAGUGUCCGAAGAAGACCACCUUUCGGCAGCUGUCACUCCCCAUUUAAACCCAGGUAAGGUUCCUCGCGUAUCAUCGAAUUAAACCACAUGUUCCUCCGCUUGUGCGGGCCCCCGUCAAUUCCUUUGAGUUUCAGCCUUGCGGCCGUACUCCCCAGGUGGAUCACUUAUCGAUUUCUCUUGGUCACUUGCAGUGUAUCGCAAACAACGAGUGAUCAUCGUUUACUGCGUGGACUAC